rnacentral:rRNA from 1 species
AUAGGAGACAAGAAGGCAUCUUCUUGUUUUUAAAAGACCUAGCAAUAGGUAUGCUUAGGGAGGAGCUUGCGUCACAUUAGUUAGUUGGUGGGGUAAAGGCCUACCAAGACUAUGAUGUGUAGCCGGGCUGAGAGGUUGAACGGCCACAUUGGGACUGAGACACGGCCCAAACUCCUACGGGAGGCAGCAGUAGGGAAUUUUCGGCAAUGGAGGAAACUCUGACCGAGCAACGCCGCGUGAACGAUGAAGUAUUUCGGUACGUAAAGUUCUUUUAUUAGGGAAGAAUAAAUGAUGGAAAAAUCAUUCUGACGGUACCUAAUGAAUAAGCCCCGGCUAACUAUGUGCCAGCAGCCGCGGUAAUACAUAGGGGGCAAGCGUUAUCCGGAAUUAUUGGGCGUAAAGGGUGCGUAGGCGGUUAAAUAAGUUUAUGGUCUAAGUGCAAUGCUCAACAUUGUGAUGCUAUAAAAACUGUUUAGCUAGAGUAAGAUAGAGGCAAGUGGAAUUCCAUGUGUAGUGGUAAAAUGCGUAAAUAUAUGGAGGAACACCAGUAACGAAGGCGGCUUGCUGGGUCUUUACUGACGCUGAGGCACGAAAGCGUGGGGAGCAAACAGGAUUAGAUACCCUGGUAGUCCACGCCGUAAACGAUGAGUACUAAACGUUGGGUAAAACCAGUGUUGAAGUUAACACAUUAAGUACUCCGCCUGAGUAGUACGUACGCAAGUAUG